ensembl:lncRNA
UCAAGGCAUCCAUUCAAUUUGAGAGCAAACCUUCGCCAACUGCUCGGUCAUCAGGAAGAUAGAAGAAAUAUGAACAUUCAAACAGCAGGAACCAUAAAACAUGCGGGGAGGAACAGCUUUCCUCAAGCAGGAUGUUGGAUAAAGUGAGGGCUAUUCUUCCACCUAUCCCAGCUUUCUCGGUCACCUGCGUCCAGUACCAGCAAGCUCAGCUGGGGUCAGAAUACCUCCCGUAUCACACAGACCUCUGCUAGGGGGCUUUGAAAGACAUUCCCACUGCUGCCACACGCAGAGCUGAGAAGCGGCACCACCCUGUGCUCCUCACACAGCAUGAUGUCACACUUACUGGCUGACAGCUAUCUUGGAUUUAUCAGUUCAAUGCCACAGUUGGUUUGGUGCCUGCUGUGUAGGCACUUUCCAAGAGGCAAAGAAGAAAUUAGCUAUGUAGUAACUGAUAUAUUGCUCUCAUUUCCAAAAGUCAUAAGCUUUUUUAGCACAAAAAGAUUAGUAAUGAAAUAAUAGAAUAAUCAUGAAGUGAAAGAUAAGAAGCAGCAUAUAUCUUUACAUAUCCAUAUGACCUACCUUAAUGAUUGUAGUCUGGUUGAAGAGAAUUGGGUAAAUGACCCUCAUUUCUGCAUGUGGUAUGUUCAGUUGCUGCGGUGUCUAUGACUGGCUCAAUAUGGAUUUAACCUCUUUAACCUCAGAUUGAAGACUUUCAAUAGCUGGGUUAUGUUGCUUGUUUUCGCUGCUUUUUUUUUUUUUUUUUUUUUAAUUUUAAUUUUAAUUUGAACUUCAUUUCCCAGCUAUUGACAGAAAGAUUCUAAAUUUAACAAAACUCACAUAGGGCUUGGAGAAUAUGCCCUUUGAAGAGCAGCUGAAGGAAUUGGGGCUCUUUAGUCCGGGGAAAAGGAGGCCUUAUUGCUCUCUUCAAGUACCUGAAAGGUGAUUGCAGCGAGAGCGGGGUUGGUCUCUUCUCACUGGUGACAGGUGACAGGAUGAGGGGAAAUGGCCUCACGUUGUACCAGGGGAGGUUUAGGUUGGAUAUCAGGAAAAACUUCUUUACAUAAGGGUUGUUAAGCACUGGAAUAGGCUGCCCAGAGAGGUGGUUGAGUCACCAUCCCUGGAUGUGUUUAAAAACCAUUUGGAUGUGGUGCUCAGGGACAUGAUUUAGUGGAGAGUUGUUAGAGUUAGGGGAGUAUGGUCAGGUUGUGGUUGGAUAUGAUGAUCUUUAAGGUCUUUUCCAACCUGAGCAAUUCUGUGAUUCUAUGAUUGUUCACCAUCUAACCAGAGAACAGAAAAUACAUAUGUCAGGCCUCAUUAGCAAAAACUGUAGCUGACAAAUGCCUCUUUUCCAUCCCCUUCUAUGCCACUAUACCUCACAGAGCUGGUGAUCAACAACUACUAUUGUUUAAUGAGUCUGACUCUUCAUCAUUGCCCCCUCAGAUACAUCUGGUGUUGUAACAUAUCCAAAGCUUGAAAAACAAAUAAACUGGCUACCUUACACCAAAGGAAGAUGACAUUCUGGGGAGAAGGGUCUCUCCUGGAGUUUUCAGCCAAAAAACUGCAGAUCCCUUUAUCUGAGGAGAGAGUUAACAGAAAAGAUCUCUGAAGGCCAAAACAGCUGGAAGUGAAUGGUGUUAAGGAGGUUUCCUUCUUUGCUGCAGGUCCCUUAAAGAUUUCUGGUUACUCUGAAACCAUAAUUCCACUCCAAGCAUUUUGCCUUGCUUGGAGGCAGCUGUGAAAUAGCUGCAGCAGCAGCUGAUUAAUGCCAGGUGUACAUCCAAAUCCACGCAUCUGCAUUUGUUGCUGCAAACUUAAGCAAACAAUGACCAAAUGUGGCUUUUCUCCGUACAGCUCGAGCUGGGUGUGUGCUUCAUCACUGUCGGCUGCAGAGUCACAGUCUCAGAAGGACCAAACUAUGGUGUGGAGCUCAAAGGAAAGUUCAAAAGAUAUUAACUGUUUGACCACAAGUCCAAAGAAGGGCAACAAGGCUUGUGAAGGGCUUGGAGAAUAUGCUCUAUGAAGAGCAACUGAAGGAACUGGGGCUGUUCAGUCCGGGGAAAAGGAGGCCUUAUUGCUCUCUUCAAGUACCUGAAAGGUGAUUGCAGUGAGAGCGGGGUUGGUCUCUUCUCACUGGUGACAGGUGACAGGAUGAGGGGAAAUGGCCUCACGUUGUACCAGGGGAGGUUUAGGUUGGAUAUCAGGAAAAACUUCUUUACAUAAGGGUUGUUAAGCACUGGAAUAGGCUCCCCAGGGAGGUGGUUGAGUCACCAUCCCUGGAUGUGUUUAAAAACCAUUUGGAUGUGGUGCUCAGGAACAUGAUUUAGCAGAGGGUUGUCAGAGUUAGGGUAGUAUGUUUAGAUUGCGGUUGGACUUGAUGAUCUUUAGGUCUUUUCCAAUCUGAGCGAUUCUAUGAUUCUAUGACACAUCUUGCGUUUGGGGACAUAUUUUUGGACAACUGAAGAGCGAUAACAGUUUUUAUUCUUGGGUUUGCUUUUCCGUUCUGCGUUAGCUUAUCUUGGUAGAUUGGUUUUAUGGCCUCAAUUGCCAGUCAAACAAAGUGCAGGAGGGCCUGAUUCACCCAAGGCCUGACCUCUGCAUGCAGCAAAUGAGCCAUACUGGGGGUCGUCCUCUUAAAUGUCUCUUUCAUUGUCCUAGCUACUGCGGCCUGCUCGUGAAUUGUAUUAAUAGCUUGCGUUUGGUAAGAGAAAAAAGGGAAACAGACAAGGUUAUUUUUGCAAAACCAGGACGCAACAUUGUCCUAGCUGAAGUCAGUGCCAAGACCGCCACUGAUGCCAAUGGAAUCAGGGCUUUAUUUGCCAUUUUACAUGAAUGAAGUGGCCACCUGAAGUGUUCAAAUGAUAAUGAUAAAUAAUUAAAACCCACUACCCAUCUCAAAACUGCUGGGCUGAAUUUGAAAGUUCUUGUGAAUUAAUUAAAAAAACAUUUCUGAUGCAUAAACAAGAGAAAAUGAAGGAAGAGACUGAAUAUGGUGUGAACACGUGAGAGGGAAGGAGGAGAGAGGGUGUAGCAGUUACUUCUGAAGCUGGUUGGGUGGAGUAUGCAGGGUUGGCAAAGCAAGUCACAUAUGUAUGUCAUCAGUAAUGUGGAGUUUUUGAGUAACAUGAAGUUAGAGCAGAUGCUGACUUGAAAUCUCCUUUGUAGAAGAAUUAAAUCACAUGUGGGUAAUUAUUAAGCAUUAAAAUCACAAGUCAGAAAGGUUACGCAAAAAAGAAGAAAAUGGAGUAUUUCAGAAAUAUUUCUUGAUGAGGAGAUGCUGAUGAAUGAACACGGGCAUAUGGAUGGAUUUAAGCUCCAGACCAAAGCAUUAUCAGUACUACAUGCUGGGUGUUUGAUAAAGGCUACAGAAUUCCCAUCAUAUGGCCCUUUUUAUCAGGUAUAGUCCUCUCCUGUCUUUAACUCCAUCAUUUUAGUCCCUUAGAGGAAAGAAAGAAUAUGAAAGCAGCAGUUGGACUGGCAAAGUCUUACUUCUGUUUAACUUCAUUUUUUUCUGUCAUGACAGGAAGAAAAAUCCUGCUUCUGUCACUUUGAGCCCAAUGAAAAAGUGGUUUACUGAGCAUAAAACCAUGUCCUUAGGGAUCAAGCCAGCUCUUAAACUGUGAUUACAGCCAUAAGGAGGAUGGUGACACAGAGAGAAAUAUGGUGUUUCUAAAGACUUUGGCAAAGAUCUUAAUUAAUGGAGGAGGGUACAAGACCAUCUAGAUGCCUCUGUAAUUCUAUAAAUAGUGACUAAGACCACUUGUGUGUCCCAGGAUGACUUUUGCCCUUCAGGAGCGAGUCUGUAUGUGAAGUCAAGAAAUACUGCCUAUUUUUUAUUAUAAAAAAUAGCAACCAAAUGCCCAAAUACCAAAAUCUCAACAAAUGUUUGUUUAAGUGUAAAGAUUUUCCGCACUUUUAAAGCAAAAGAUUAAGUUAUGAAGAGCUAGCAUGGAAGUAAAUAUUCAUAGAAUCAUAGAAAGACUUAGGUUGGAGGGGACCUUAAAGAUCUCAAAAUUCUAAGCUGCUGUUUACAUUUUAGUCUGCCCCACUUUUACUCCCCAUGGACUUGGUGUAAGUAGGUAUGAAAAGAAAGGGAAAAGAAUUCAACCAUGGACCCCUGAACACUCUUCAUUUAUCAAGCCCACCUCUAUAAUUCUUCUGCUAGUCACUUUCUAAUAAAACAUUUCAAUACACAUAUAACUUACCAAUACCAGAACCUUUUUCACUGAGAGUUGGUUUUUGAUUACAUCCUCUUGAGAUCUAAAGAAAAAUCUGUGUUUGAGCAUGGUUCAUAAGUUCAUUUAAAAAGUUCAUUAACUAUUGAUAUUCUUGUUUUCCAUAGAUGGAUUUUGUGAUUUUAUUUCAUUUGUUCAAUUACGAGGGUGUUUAGAAGUUCAGAGUUCUAUCUUAGUACAUUAUUGGGCACAUGACUACUUUUCUGCUUGAUGAAAGAGCAAAUAUAGCAUUAACAAGU